rnacentral:lncRNA from 1 species
GACCGUUAGCUCUAGGCAGACGCCGACGGGCCCCGCGGGGAUGGAACAGCCGCCGCCUCUGGCGCCCGAGCCGGCCUCGGCGCGGAGCCGCAGGCGGCGGGAGCCGGAGUCUCCGCCGGCGCCGAUGGAUCCUGUAGAAGAUCCUAUCCAGACUCCUAAGUGUCCUGCUUCCAGCAAUUGCUUUGUCCAAACCUCCAGCUGCGGCAGACCCCACCCCAUGGAAACCCACAGGCCACUGCAGUGAGGAAGCAGGUAGGCUGACUGCAGAUGCCGUCUUUCCCUCCAUCCCUCAAGUCCAGCC